rnacentral:rRNA from 1 species
GACGAACGCUGGCGGCGUGCUUAACACAUGCAAGUCGAGCGAGGCUCCUCCUUCGGGAGGAUGCCCUAGCGGCGAACGGGUGAGUAACACGUGGGCAACCUGCCCCUAGCACUGGGAUAACCCCGGGAACCGGGGCUAAUACCGGACUACGACUCCAGAAGGCAUCUUCCGGAGUGGAAAAGUUUACUGGCUAGGGAUGGGCCCGCGGCCUAUCAGCUUGUUGGUGGGGUAACGGCCCACCAAGGCGACGACGGGGAGCCGGCCUGAGAGGGCGACCGGCCACACUGGGACUGAGACACGGCCCA